rnacentral:lncRNA from 1 species
NNNNNNNNNNNNNNNNNNNNNNNNNNNNNNNNNNNNNNNNNNNNNNNNNNNNNNNNNNNNNNACCCCCAUGGCUGGUGGUGGCAUCUGUGGGGUCGGUGGCAUCACGGAUAGAGGUGGCAUCUCAGGAGCUGGGGGCACCCCCUGCACUGGUGGCAUCCCAACUGCUGGCAGCAUCCCUGGGACCGGUGGCAUCAGGGGAGGGGGUGGCAUCCCUGGAGCUGGUGGCAUUACACAUGGAAGUGGCAUCCCUUGGGUUGGUGGCACCCCCAGGGCUGGUGACAUCCCCAUGGCUGGUGGCAUCACGGAUGGAGGUGGCAUCUCUGGAGCUGGUGGCAUCCCAACAGUUGGUGGCAUCCCUUGGGCUGGUGACAUCCCCAUGGCCAGUGGCAUCGGGGACAGUGGUGGCAUCUCUGGAGCUGGUGGCAUCAUGAGUGGAGGUGGCAUUCCUUGGCCUGGUGGCAUCACAGACAGUGGUGGCAUCUCUGGAGCUGGUGGCAUCUCUGUGGCCAUCGCUGGGGUUGGUGGCACUCCUGGAGCUGGUGGCAUCCCCACAACUGGUGGCAUCCCUGUACCCAGUGGCACUCUCAGGGCUGGUUGCACCCCCAAGGCUGGUGACAUCCCCAUGGCUGGUGGCAUCCCCGGAGCCAGUGACAUCCCUGCCACCAGCUGGGGCUGCACGGUGGGGACGGGCUGUGGUGGCACCCCUGGUCCCGGGAGCAUCGCUGGGCACGGUGACGCCCCUGGGCCUGGUGCCAUCACUGGCACUGCUGGUGGCAUCCCGGGGACUGGCUGCAGCUGCACGAUGGGGACCAACUGUGGUGGCAUCACAGCCGGGGGUGGCACCCCUGGGGCUGGUGACACUCCCAGACCCGGUGCCACCUCCAGAGCCGGUGGCAUCCCGUGGGCUGGGGGCACUGCUGGACCUGGUGGCACCCCCAGAGCCGGUGGCAUCCCAGCUGGAGGUGGCAUUCCUGGAGCUGGCGGCAUCACUUGGGCUGGUGGCACUGCUGGAGCUGGUGCCACCCCCAGAGCCGGUGCCACCCCCAGAGCCGGUGACGCUCCUGGACCCGGGGGCAUCCCUUGGGGUGGUGGCACCCCCAGGCCUGGUGGCGCUUCCGGAGCCGGUGUCACCCCCAGUGCCACCCCCGGCCCCGGUGCCCCCGGUGCCACCUGCAGGGGGGUGACCCCGACAUCCCCCUCGGGGGGCUCUGCCGGGACCCCUCCAGCGACGUCCCCCGAUGUGCCCUCGGCCCCGGGGGGCACCUGUGGGA